rnacentral:rRNA from 1 species
CCUACGGGAGGCAGCAGUGAGGAAUAUUGGUCAAUGGGCGGGAGCCUGAACCAGCCAAGUCGCGUGAGGGAAGACGGUCCGAUGGAUUGUAAACCUCUUUAGGCGGGGAGCAAGGCCGGGCACGCGGGCCCGGAGGGAGAGGACCCGCAGAAGAAGCAGCGGCGAACUCCGUGCCAGCAGCCGCGGUAAUACGGAGGAUGCGAGCGUGAUCCGGAUUUAUUGGGUGGAAGGGGUGCGUAGGCGGAUUUUUAAGUCAGCGGUAAAAUGUCCGGGCUCAACCCGGGCCGGCCGUUGAAACGGGGGAUCUUGAGUGCGCGAGAAGUAUGCGGCAUGCGUGGUGUAGCUGUGAAAUGCAUCGAUAUCACGCAGAACUCCGAUUGCGAAGGCAGCAUACCGGCGCCCGACUGACGCUGAGGCACGACAGCGUGGGGAUCGAACAGGAUUAGAUACCCUUGUAGUC